GACGAACGCUGGCGGCGUGCUUAACACAUGCAAGUCGAACGGUAAGGCCCUUCGGGGUACACGAGUGGCGAACGGGUGAGUAACACGUGGGUGAUCCGCCCUGCACUUCGGGAUAAGCCUGGGAAACUGGGUCUAAUACCGGAUAGGACUCCGGACUGCAUGGUCUGGGGUGGAAAGCUUUGGCGGUGUGGGAGGGGCCCGCGGCCUAUCAGCUGGUGGGUGGGGUGAUGGCCUACCAAGGCGACGACGGGUAGCCGGCCUGAGAGGGUGACCGGCGACACUGGGACUGAGAUACGGCCCAGACUCCUACGGGAGGCAGCAGUGGGGAAUAUUGCACAAUGGGCGCAAGCCUGAUGCAGCGACGCCGCGUGAGGGAUGACGGCCUUCGGGUUGUAAACCUCUUUCAGCAUCGACGAAGCGAAAGUGACGGUAGGUGCAGAAGAAGGACCGGCCAACUACGUGCCAGCAGCCGCGGUAA
rnacentral:rRNA from 1 species